rnacentral:rRNA from 1 species
GGGGAAUAUUGCACAAUGGGGGAAACCCUGAUGCAGCCAUGCCGCGUGUGUGAAGAAGGCCUUCGGGUUGUAAAGCACUUUCAGCGAGGAGGAAAGGUUGUUGGCUAAUACCCAACAGCUGUGACGUUACUCGCAGAAGAAGCACCGGCUAACUCCGUGCCAGCAGCCGCGGUAAUACGGAGGGUGCAAGCGUUAAUCGGAAUUACUGGGCGUAAAGCGCACGCAGGCGGUUGGAUAAGUUAGAUGUGAAAGCCCCGGGCUCAACCUGGGAAUUGCAUUUAAAACUGUCCAGCUAGAGUCUUGUAGAGGGGGGUAGAAUUCCAGGUGUAGCGGUGAAAUGCGUAGAGAUCUGGAGGAAUACCGGUGGCGAAGGCGGCCCCCUGGACAAAGACUGACGCUCAGGUGCGAAAGCGUGGGGAGCAAAC